rnacentral:tRNA from 1 species
CGGGGCAUAGCGCAGUUUGGCAGCGCGCCUGCUUUGGGAGCAGGAGGUCGCAGGUUCGAAUCCUGUUGCCCCGACCA